AGUAACGCGUGAGGAACCUGCCUCAAAGAGGGGGACAACAGUUGGAAACGACUGCUAAUACCGCAUAAGCCCACAGCUCGGCAUCGAGCAGAGGGAAAAGGAGCAAUCCGCUUUGAGAUGGCCUCGCGUCCGAUUAGCUAGUUGGUGGGGUAACGGCCCACCAAGGCGACGAUCGGUAGCCGGACUGAGAGGUUGAACGGCCACAUUGGGACUGAGACACGGCCCAG
rnacentral:rRNA from 1 species